rnacentral:lncRNA from 1 species
AGGAAAGCCUAGGCUUAAACAUUGGACGGUACAUCUAAGGAACAUAAUAGCAGUAAUACGAACAUCUCACAGGAAACAAACCGAUCUAGAAAAACCAUCUUAUUGGGAGCUCAUCUCACACUCUUUUCUUCCUCAUAGAAGAAACAAGGAAGAAAAAUUUGGAGCUAUUAACUUGUUGUAGCUAAUACAGCUGUCAGCUAGCUAGGACUUGUCGUGGAGCUUGUUGGCAAGAUUGCAAACCUUUCGGAUCUCACCCUUUGUACCUGUGAGAGGGUUGUUCUCAGAAAGGAGAGUAAUGGCUCUUGAAAAUUCCUUGAAGAAGUAGUCUUGACUCUUGGCCAUCUUCUUAACAUAAGGUCUUGUCCUCUUGUCGGUGGCUAGCUGAUGAUCAACCAUCAUCAAGCCCUUGUUGUCCAAUAUGUUCCUAUAGUAGUUGUUGUCCAGCACCAUGGGUGUGCCACGGUCAUUCCUCACAUACUGAACAGCCUUGGGGUCUGGGAUUGCAUCAGGACACUUAUGGAGCAUAUGCGGAACAUGGUCAGGGUUCAGUGCAGGGUCAACUUCUGGGUACAGACGGUGCACCAGCUUCACACAAUGAGUUCUGCCAAC